rnacentral:rRNA from 1 species
UCCGUAGGUGAACCUGCGGAGGGAUCAUUACAUGUCCGUCGUGAUAUGCUCGUAGUAGUCGCUGCCACUUGUUGCCUCGGCGGAUCAGCCCGCUCCCGGUAAAACGGGACGGCCCGCCAGAUGCUCGCUGAUAGUCGCUUCUAUAUUGAGUCGUCGUUUAAAACCAUAAAUGCUCGUAAACUUGAUGAGUCGCUGAUGUUGGUUCUGGCAUCGAUAUGCUGCUGAUAGUCGGCUGAUGAGGGGCUGCCUGAUGUGAAUUGCAGAAUUCAGUGAAUCAUCGAAUCUUUGAACGCACAUAGGUCCGUGUGAACUUCUGGCGGGCAUAUGCUCGUGAUAGUCGCUGAAACCCUCAAGCACAGCUUGGUGAUGCUCGUGAUAGCUGUUCGCGUUCCUCAAAUUGAUUGGAUGCUCGCUGGAGCUUCCAUAAUGCUCGUGUAAAACCCUCGUUACUGGUAAUCGUCGCGGCAUGCUCGUGAUAGCCCAACUUCUGGAUGUUGACCUCGGAUCAUGCUCGCUGAUGCGCUGAACUUAAGCAUAUCAUGCUCGUAAGGAUAGGUCGCUCGUAGAUGAUGAUAGAU